rnacentral:rRNA from 1 species
GCUCGUAGUUGGAUUUUGGUUAAGAGGGCGCGGUCGGCCGUUUGGUCUGUACUGCGUUGUCUUGACUUCCUGAUGAGGACAUGCUCUUGGUUAACGCUGAGACAUGGAGUCAUCGUGGUUACUUUGAAAAAAUUAGAGUGUUCAAAGCGGGCUUACGCUUGAAUAUAUUAGCAUGGAAUAACACUAUAGGACUCCUGUCCUAUCUCGUUGGUCUCGGGAUGGGAGUAAUGAUUAAGAGGAACAGUUGGGGGCAUUCGUAUUUCAUUGUCAGAGGUGAAAUUCUUGGAUUUAUGAAAGACGAACUUCUGCGAAAGCAUUUGCCAAGGAUGUUUUCAUUAAUCAAGAACGAAAGUUGGGGGCUCGAAGAUGAUUAGAUACCAUCCUAGUCUCAACCAUAAACGAUGCCGACUAGGGAUUGGUGGAUGUUAAUUGAUGACUUCACCAGCACCUUAUGAGAAAUCAAAGUUUUUGGGUUCCGGGGGGAGUAUGGUCGCAAGGCUGAAACUUAAAGGAAUUGACGGAAGGGCACCACCAGGCGUGGAGCCUGCGGCUUAAUUUGACUCAACACGGGGAAACUUACCAGGUCCAGACAUAAGUAUGAUUGACAGAUUGAGAGCUCUUUCUUGAUUC